CGAUCCUUGACCGGCUCACCCAUCUACAUAUCUAAUUUCUAACAGAACUUGGUAGGCAGAGGAUGGUUAACUAACGGUCCAGUCGAAGUGAACUGAUUGGGUGUGCGAGAACGGGUGAGCUCGUGGAAAGGACGAUUCAAGGAGGACGGGUGAAGAUUUUUCGGUGGGUGGACAACAAUUCUGCUCAACUCGGGAAACUGAUCUAAAGGUGCACCAUAAAUAAGCUCUUUCCAAACAGAUACACAAAGUCCAUGAGGGGGAGCUGACGGGAGAUCCGGAGCAACUGAGGGUAAAGGUCGGCGAUUGGGUAAGGAUCAAGGUCCACAAAAGAAAGUGGGCGGAUCCCAGGUGGACUGGACCGUACGAAGUGAAGGAGGUUACCUCACACUCAGUCCAGGUCAAAGGUAAAUCGGGCGCACCUUGGCACCACUUGACUCAUUGUACACCAGCACCGACUCCGUCUAGAACUCUGACUGAAGUCAGGGUCGAUUUGAGCGACCUAAAUUUGAUUACAACCACAGAACCCUUAGUUGGUGAGGAUGUGGGAGCAGCUCCCCAGCACACCAACUAACAGGUCGUCCAGAGAUAGGGGCUAUCCCUGGACGAGAUUGGGGAUAUCG
ensembl:lncRNA